rnacentral:lncRNA from 1 species
CUUACUUUCUAUAGUCCUCAUUCUAUAACUUUUGAUCCAAAUUAUUCCAGAGAUUGGAUUAAAAACAAAUGGAUGUGGCAUACAGGGAGCAUCUCAAAUCAUUCAUUCUCACCAGCAGGUCUCAUGUGCUCCGAAACCAACUUGAAGCACUCUCCUUCUUCCUCUAGCAUGGUGACUGGAUUCCAAGGGAAACUGUAUCAAGAAAAACAGCACCAAAAAAAGUCAUGUCACCUUUCCUGACCAGUGAUGCAGCUUCCAUUCUACCACAUUCCAUUCAUCAAGAAUGUGAUGGUUGGAGCUGUUGUAGCUGUAUUACAACCAGGAGGAAAGACUUUGCUGACGUACUAAGGAUGGAAACUAAAAAAAGUUCUUUAGAUCAAGAGGAACUACUUGAAGAGCAGCACUCAACAAAUCUGCACAUCGACCUGGUUUAAAUGCUAAGAUCCUGCCCUUGUAGAUUCGAUGCCAUAAUGAUGAGACUUUCACAAGGUCAAGGGAGAAGUGUGAAAGAGGACUAAUACGUUCCCCAUCAAGCCUCCAGAUGAGAACCCUGUCCUGACCAACAUUUUGAUUGCAGCUUUGCAGAGGACCGAGAUAAACCAUAACUAGACUCCUCACCCAUAGACACUGUGAGAUAAUAAAUGUGUGGUG